rnacentral:lncRNA from 1 species
UUUGACAUAAACUUGAAUUCAAAAUGAUCAAAGAUUAAAACAAACUACUACAAAUAUUAAAAAAUUGAACUUUAUUGAACAAAACCUCAUAAUUCAAUGGAAAAUUACAAUGAAAUCAAUUUAAAAGUUUUAGUCUUCCAUUACGAAGAGGAAAACAAAACAAAAAUAAAUCAAAGUUUAAGAGCGCUAUUCGACUUUAAAACUUGAUGCCCCUGUUUUUGCUCUGAAAUCUCUUUUAUAAUCUUCUUUUCUUUGCACAAAAUCAAAUUCAUAAUCUAUCUCAGGAUAUUGUUUUACAAUUAUCAAAUAUUUUCUUUCUCUAUUAAUAAGCAAAUAUCUUCUUUCUUAAUCAAUCCUAGAUCUCAUUCUCGCUUCUCUUCCAAAUGUAUUGUUUCCAAACUUGAUUCAGAUUUGUGUAUUGAUUGUAAUUAAGCUCGGUGAUGCUACGAGAGAUAUUGCAGAAGAUUUACGUGAAUAAUAUUUCAAGGAUAUUUGCUCUAUUUUUGAAGCUUUUUACCGAGUAGUUUUUUAGUGCAUAAUUUGAAAGAAUCCCCUCGCAUAAGAUUGAAUUGAUUUUGGUUCUUGCUUCCUCAAAAUGUAAUAGAAUCACCAAAUCAAUAUCUUCCUUUUCCAGAAUGGACAUCCAUCAAGAGUUGCUUUGAGAAUACUAUUUAAGCACAUGAAGCAUUUAAUCCUUCCAUAAUCAAGCUUUCAAUCUUCAAGUGACAUAGUUCUUUUUUGAGAAAUUUUCAACAUCUUCACAAAGGAUAACCGAAUUCAAAUCUGGAAUUGGAAUUGACUAUUUGGGCCCAAAGACUCGCCAAUCCUAUCAAGAGCUUUUAAACACUAAAGAACAAAAUAGAUUUAACAUAGAAUAAAAGAACGUUAGGUAAAGAAAAAUGGAGAAUGGUAUGUUAGUUGGACCAACUAAUAUUCUUUCUGAAAUUUGAAGUUUUUAGGGAGGAAGGGUAUGACAUAGCUUAGUAAAUCAAUCAACAAUACAAUGUGAUAGAAGAAAAUGCUAAAUGAGAAGAGGAACAAAUUGAUGCCUGUUUUACUAGAAAAAAAAGGGAUGAACAAAAUUUUGCAGACACAAGGAUCAAGUUAAUAUGUCACACUGUAGGACUAGGUAAAGAAAAAGGUUUUAAAUUGCAAUUGUAGUAAUGAACUCAUGAUAACAUAAUGGAGUUAUGAAUCCAGGGCUAUCAUGGUUGUGGUUACCAUCACAACUGAGACUUAAAUCCUUGGAAGAGAAUAUUUGAGAGAAAAUCAGGUCAAGAGGGUGUGCUUGAGAACCAUGUGCGAGAAAUCAAAUUCAAGUUCUGUUUCAAAUUAAAACAUGAUUGUGACUCUGUGUUAUUCUUUCAUCUGCGGGCUAUGGGAAGUGAGAAGAUAUGGACUAAGGUAACUUUAAUAAAUCUUUGAUAAUAACACAACCAUAGUUUUAACUUUGAUAAAUCUUUUACAAAUUAGCAGCAAUGGUAUGAUAAUAUAGAUAAUCAUUUUUAACAUUAUUGUCACAUUACUCAAACAGCAAGCAGUAUGGGUCAAAUAGCCAUUUUAAGUAAAGAUAAAUGAUCAGCUCUAACAUCUUCCACAAAAACUAAUGUUCUCAAAGCUUCAAAUUUGUACACCAGUUUUAUUUUUUUUAUUUAUGGUCUAAUGGUCUCUAUUUUAUGUCCAAUGUUGCAAGGACCUGAAAAAUAAAUAUUCCAAAACAAACAAUGUUAUAAAAAGAGAGAGAGGUCAUGCUUACAGAAGAACAAGAUUGGAUUUUCCUCCUCAAUAACUGCCGAAUAACACCUCCAGCCAUCUUAGUUCAGACUGCAAUCCAUUCACAUGAAGACUACAGAAAGUAGCUAAAUAUCUCCAACAAGUAUAAAAGAUCAAAUUCUACAAAUAUGCAUAAGGGUACUGACAAAGACAGCCUCACCAAAAAGUGCAAAUAAGAUAAGAGUAAAUGUUAUCAACUGUUUCUGCAAUGAAGAAUAAGAACCAACAUAAGCAGAAAAAAACAGCAACAUCAAAAACCCACAUCACCAAGCAACACAUUCAAAUGAAAUCUCAAUAGGGCAUAUGAUUGCUGAACAUGGGUCACAGAUCCUAGUUGCAGUGAUUGCUGAACAUUUAAAACUAAGAGCUUACAUGUAAUGAAAAUUGAAUGGAGUAGGAGAAGAUACAAGGACACAUAAGUUUUAUGCAAAAGAACAAAAAUUGAUGGUAUGUUAAAUGUUAAUUAGGAGUGGGGUUGAAGUCUCUUGAAGAUGGUUGGAGAGUGUUGCUUAAAAUGGCAGAUAUGUGUGCUGAGCUGGCCUAAAAGGAAAUGUUGGUUUCACUCACCUUCCUGACUUGUGAGUGAAGACACAUUUGGCAUACAAUUU